CACAAUCUCCUUUUUGUUCAUAAAACAUUGCAUGGUGUUUCUAUUAUGUGUUUUGCCUUUAUUUGUUUUGCAGCCUCUGUUUGUGUGCUCUGCUCUUUUUUAUUAUUUCAAAAGAGGGAGAAUAGAUAAAUAUCACAUAUGAGCUACAACGGAGCAUAAAGACAAGGGGAGCCAUUCGAAUGCAAUGAAGGCACUGAGUCAGCAAGACAGGGGGAG
rnacentral:lncRNA from 1 species